UACAGAGGUCCCGAGCGUUGUUCGGAUUCACUGGGCGUAAAGGGUGCGUAGGUGGCAUGGCCAGUUUGAUGUGAAAGCUCAGGGCUUAACCCUGAAAUGGCAUUGAAUACUGCUGUGCUGGAGGUUUGGAGGGGGGGACUGGAAUUCUUGGUGUAGCAGUGAAAUGCGUAGAUAUCAAGAGGAACACCAGUGGCGAAGGCGAGUCCCUGGACAACACCUGACACUGAGGCACGAAAGCCGGGGGGAGCAAACAGG
rnacentral:rRNA from 1 species